AUUGAACGCUGGCGGCAGGCCUAACACAUGCAAGUCGAACGGUAACAGGAAGAAGCUUGCUUCUUUGCUGACGAGUGGCGGACGGGUGAGUAAUGUCUGGGAAACUGCCUGAUGGAGGGGGAUAACUACUGGAAACGGUAGCUAAUACCGCAUAACGUCGCAAGUCCAAAGAGGGGGACCUUCGGGACUCUUGCCAUCGGAUGUGCCCAGAUGGGAUUAGCUAGUAGGUGGGGUAACGGCUCACCUAGGCGACGAUCCCUAGCUGGUCUGAGAGGAUGACCAGCCACACUGUAACUGAGGCACAGUCCAGACUCCUACGGGAGGCAGCAGUGGAGAAUAUUGCACGAAGGGCGCAAGCCUGAUGCAGCCAUGCCGCGUGUAUGAAGAAGGCCUUCGGGUUGUAAAGUACUUACAGCGGGGAGGAAGGGAGUAAAGUUAAUACCUUUGCUCAUUGACAUUACCCGCAGAAGAAGCACCGGCUAACUCCGUG
rnacentral:rRNA from 1 species